rnacentral:tRNA from 1 species
GCCCAUGUAGCUUAAAUGUACUUAAAGCACCGGUCUUGUAAUCCGAAGACUGGGGGUUAAAGUCCCCCCAUGUGCC